CAGUUGCCGCGGUAAUACAGAGGGUGCGAGCGUUAAUCGGAUUUACUGGGCGUAAAGCGUGCGUAGGCGGCUUCUUAAGUCGGAUGUGAAAUCCCUGAGCUUAACUUAGGAAUUGCAUUCGAUACUGGGAAGCUAGAGUAUGGGAGAGGAUGGUAGAAUUCCAGGUGUAGCGGUGAAAUGCGUAGAGAUCUGGAGGAAUACCGAUGGCGAAGGCAGCCAUCUGGCCUAAUACUGACGCUGAGGUACGAAAGCAUGGGGAGCAAACAGGAUUAGAUACCCCAGUAGUCCCUGUCUCUUAUAC
rnacentral:rRNA from 1 species